rnacentral:rRNA from 1 species
AGGGCACCACCAGGAGUGGAGCCUGCGGCUUAAUUUGACUCAACACGGGAAAUCUCACCAGGCCCGGACACCGGUAGGAUUGACAGAUUGAGAGCUCUUUCUUGAUUCGGUGGGUGGUGGUGCAUGGCCGUUCUUAGUUGGUGGAGCGAUUUGUCUGGUUAAUUCCGAUAACGAACGAGACUCUGGCCUACUAACUAGACGUUAGAUCCCUUCGUGGGUCUAUCGCAGCUCCUUAGAGGGACGGGCGGCGUUUAGCCGCACGAGAUUGAGCAAUAACAGGUCUGUGAUGCCCUUAGAUGUUCUGGGCUGCACGCGCGCUACACUGAAGGAAUCAGCGUGUGUUCCCUACCCGAAAGGGUUGGGAAACCCGUUGAACCUCCUUCGUGAUGGGGAUUGGGGAUUGCAAUUAUUCCCCAGGAACGAGGAAUUCCCAGUAGGCGCGAGUCAUAAGCUCGCGUCGAUUACGUCCCUGCCCUUUGUACACACCGCCCGUCGCUACUACCGAUCGAGUUAUUUAGU